UCCUCAGUAGCUCAACGGUAGAGCGAUCGGUUGUUAACUGACUGGUCGUAGGUUCAAAUCCUACUGAGGAG
rfam:Gossypium raimondii chromosome 2, whole genome shotgun sequence.